UUAAAUGGUUUGAGAGACUUUGAAAGGAGAGAAAGGGAGAGGGAGGCGCAGUUAAAAGGAUUUGGUUUAAUCUUGUGCAACGAAUAAUGGGUUGCCGGUCUGAUGUAUUAUGGUGGUGUGAAGCGAAUGCUUAUUGUGUUACCUUACUAGUUGGGUCGAAUGUAGAUGAUGCUGGAUUGUUUGAUGAAACAUUUCUGGGAAUUCCGUUGAUAGAUAGGUAGUGGUUGUUUAGUGUGAUGAUAGAUAAUGUUGUAGAUUCAAUCUAGUUCUACUGCAGUUAGGUUUGUUCCGGUGGUAGGAGAAUGAACUGCUGGGGAUUUCAUGGGGCGGAGUAAUUAGAUAUUGAAUUGGUGCAAGACAGGUGAUAGAAUUUAGGUAGUGUAGUUGAUUAGAUAUUGACAAGAAGAUUGUGGAGGUAACAAAUUUACGUUAGACAUGGGGUUGCCUCAAGUGCCCUCCAGCAAUAUUGCUGAGGAAGUGGCCACAUCAUUGAGCACAUUUGUUCAAACUCCUGCUAGAUUUGCUGGCAUGAGUAGUUGUGAUAUGAGUGGAAUGCACAUAAGUUGCCUUAGCAAUCGGACAUCAGCGGAUUUUUCAUUCGUCUCGUCUAGGGAUGUUUCCAGGGAUGCUGAUAUUCUUAGUCUACAUAAAGAUGGUAUGACAAGCAUGCAUAAAUUGAGGAUUGAUUCUGCAGAAAAUCAUGGCUUCUUCACUCACAAUGGUGGAAGGACUACCCAGAGUCCUGCAUCAAGGAUUGUUGGGUUCGAAUCAAAAAGUGCAAUAAAAAGCCAUGCUAGUUUGUUUGAAGCAAAUCCAUUGGAUAGCGUCGAUUCAUCUACUGUGGUUCGGGACAUUGACAGAAUGAAUGAGACUACAAGUUCAUUAGUUAGGAAACGCUUGUUGUCUCCUUUGAAUGGUAUGGUUCUUCCAGAUAAAUUUGCUGGUGAAUCUCUGGAUAUUGGUGGUAGUACUGUUCGGAGUAAUUCCAACUUCACUCGUGAUAAAUAUGGUGCUUCCUCACAAGAACAUAAAAAGGCUCAUAUAGGCAACACAGACAACUUUAGUAAUGAAAAUUGGUUCAUGCCAUCUUUCCCUAGGGGGAAUUGUUUGCCAACUGAAAACUGUGGAGAAGUCUCCACUUUUGUCAUAGAUUGUCCUUUGUUCAAUGACGGGGGACCUGAAUCUGAGAUCCCUUUUACUCCUCCAUCCCCUGGGUUAAACUUUUAUGCACAUAUGAUAAAAACACAGUUGAAAGAUGGGAUAAUGGACAUGCCCGGAGAAUAUACAUUCUCGCCACCUCCGUCUCUUUCUCCUCUUGGACCAAAAUCUCAUAUAAGGUUGGGACGCGCAGAAAGGUUUAGGCAUUCCUGGGAGGAUCACGAUGAUAACUACUUAACUUUGAAGGAUGUGGAACAGUCACUUGAUCGAAGGCUUUCAGGCAUUUUAUCUCCCCGGAAGGAAGAGGAUCGCAAAACAGGAAGUGAUCUUUUUCAAGAUGUUGAAGUUUUUGAGAUGAACUUUGAACGUUCCACACCUGAAAGUUUAAGUGUCAUGAGGCGGUCCAAGACACAAAAUUCAGUUCCUACAAAUCAAUGUGCAAGAUUUGGUAGAAGUCUUAGUGGACUGUCUGUCAAAAGGUCCUUAGUCGGUUCAUUCGAGGAGUCACUAUUAUCUGGUCGUUUGACAUCCAGUGUAGUCAGCCAGAGAAUUGAUGGUUUUCUUGCCGUCCUUAGUAUCACUGGUGGAAAUUUCUCGCCACAUCCUCAGAAACUUCCAUUUGCUGUAACUAGCGUAGAUGGUGAUAACUUCUUGCUUUAUUACUCAUCAAUAGAUCUUGGAAGACCAGGUAGUGAUGGUAAAGGCUCACAAAUCAGGAACUCUAGCACUAAUAGUUUACAAACAAACAAGGGCCGCCUACGUAUACCGAUGAAAGGGCGCAUACAACUGGUUCUAAGCAAUCCAGAGAGAACACCUAUCCACACAUUCUUAUGUAGCUAUGAUUUGAGUGACAUGCCAGCUGGUACUAAGACAUUUUUACGUCAAAAGAUAAAUUUGUUUAUGGAUAAAGCUGGAAACAAGAGUUUAGACAGAAAGAUGGAUAGUGAACCACCGUCGGUUAUUAGUGUUGAGGAAUCUAUGCUGCGUGAAAGCCAUUCUACCAAAUCUCAUGGUACUGGCAAGGCAGGCCAUUGUGGAACGAAACCUGCAAAUAGCACUUCAAAGGUGAAUGAGAGUACUGCUAAUUCUAGUGUUCUUCGUUACGCUCUACAUCUCUGGUUCUUGUGUCCCUACCCGAAGAAGAGCACAAAAUCAGGUAUUCAGUGCAAAGAUGAUCAGGAGAGACGAUUCUACUUGUAUAAUGAUAUGAGAGUAGUUUUCCCUCAACGACAUUCAGAUGCUGAUGAAGGCAAGAUGCUUAGGUUAUUGUCUUCCUUUUUCGGUGGAAGAGUAUAUUGUCCUCUGGAUGCAGAAGUAGAUAUUGUUUGGCAGUGUAGAUUGGUUGCCUUCAUUUGUGAUAUUAUUGAUGCUCAAUUAG